rnacentral:lncRNA from 10 species
AAACUAAUGAGAACAAAGAUACAACAUACCAGAAUAUCUGAGGCACAGCUAAGGCAGUGUUAAGAAGGAAAUUCAUAGCUUAACCUGAAGGAAAUCAAGACACAAAACAUGAUCUCAGAACUUGAAGGUAGGCUCUCUGAAAUAUGACAGUCAAAAAAAAAAAUAAAUAAAAUUUAAGAAAAGAAUAAAAAGAAAUGAACAAAACCUCUGAGAAGUAUGGAAUUAUGUAAAGAGGUCUAAUCUAUGAAUUACUGGCAUCUCUGAAAAAGAAGAGAAUUCAUUCAAAAGUUCAACUAAUGCAAGAGUUGGUUUUUUGAAAAAAAAAUAAGAUAGGCUGCUAGCUAGACUAAUGAAGAAAAUAGAGAAGAUGCAAAUAAACACAAUUAGAAAUGAUGAAGGAAACGUUACCACUGACCCCAUAGAAAUAAAAAAUAACCAUCGGAAACUACUAUGAACACCUCUAUGCACACCAACUGGAAAAUCUAAAAGAGAUGGAUCCAUUUCUGGACACAUACACCCUCCCAAGACUGAACCAGGAAGAAGUUGAUUCCCUGAAUGACCAAUAUCUAGCUCUGAAAUUGCAUCAGUAAUAAAUACUCUAUCAACCAAAAAAAGCCUAGUACCUGAUGGAUUCCCAGCCAAAUUCUACCAGAUGUACAAAGAAGAACUAGUACCAUUCCUACUGAAACUAUUCCAAAAAUUUGAAGAGAAGGGACUCCUCCCCAAUACAUUCUAUGAGGCCAGCAUCACCCUGAUACCAAAACCUCGCAGAGACAACAUUGUACUGAAUGGGCAAAAGCUGGAAGCAUUUCUCUUGAUAGCUGGCAUAAGACAAGGGUGCCUUCUCUCAUCCCUCCUAUUCAACCUGGGGAUGGUUAAUGGGUAUAAAAAUAUAGUUAGGAUGAAUAAGAUCUAGCAUUUGAUAGCAAAACAGAGCAACUAUAGUCAACAAUAAUUUAUGGUACAUUUCAGAAUAUCUAAAAUGGUAAAAUUGGAUUGUUUGUAAAACAACAAAAGGAUAAAUACUUAAGGUGAUGGAUACCAUAUUUACCCUAAUUUGAUUUUUAUACAUUGAAUGUCUGUAUCAAAAUAUCUCAUGUAUUCCAUAAAUAUACACCUACCAUGCACCACAAAAAUUAAAAAUAAAUUUUAAAAUAAUAAUAAAAAAGAAAGUAGAGUUUCCAUAAACCCCCAUUCCCUCCCUGCCCCACCCCUAGUUUCUUCUGUUAUUAACAUCUUGUAUUAGGGUUGCACAUAAUAUUAUAAUUAACUAAUCAAUAUUGAUACAUAAUUAUUAACCAAAAUCCAUAGUUUACAUUAGGAUUCACUCUUUGUGUUGUAUAGUUCUAUGGGUUUUGACAAAUGUGGGAAUGUCAUAUAUCCACCAUUACAGUAUCAUACAGAAGACUUUCUUUGCCCUAAAAAUGACCUGUGCUCCACCUAUUCAUCUCUCCCCCUACCCUAAAAUCUUGGCAACCAGUGAAUUUUUACAGUUUCUAAGUUUCACCUCACCCAGCCUGUCAUAUAGUUGAGAUCAUACAGGAUGUAGCUUUCUCAGACUGCUAUUUUUCACUUAGCAAUAUACAUUCCUUCAUGUCUUUUCAUGGCUUGAUACUUCAUUUCUCUUUUUUCUUUUCUUUUUUUAUAGAGACAGGGGGUCUCACUAUGUUGCCAGGGGUGGUCUCAAACUCCUGGGUUCAAGCAAUCAUCCUGCCUUGGCCUCCCAAAGUUCUGGGAUUACAGACGUGAGUCACUGCAUACGGUCUCAUUUCUUUUCAUCACUGAGAAAUAUGCUAUUGUAUAGAUGUACCAUAGUUUGUUUAUACAUUCACCCAUUGAAGAACAUCUUGGUUGCCUUUAACUUUUGGUAAUUAUGAAUAAAGCUGCUAUAAACAUUCUUAUGGAGGUUUUUGUGUAAACGCACAUUUUCAGUUCAUUUGGGUAAAUGCCUAGGAGCAGAAUUUCUCUAUCAUAUGGUAAGCCUAUGUUUAGCUUUGUAAGAAACUACCACAGUUAUCUUCCAAAGUGCUAUACAAUUUUACAUUCUCCUGAACAGUGAAUGAGGGUUCCAGUUGCUCCACAUGCUCACCAGCAUUUGGUGUUCUCAGUGUUUCAGAUUUUAGCCGUUCUAAUAGGUGUGUAGAAGUAUCUUGUUUUAAUUUUCAGUGCUUUAAUGGCAUAUAAUAUUGAGCAUGUUUUCAUAGGCUUAUUUUCCUAUUUUAGAUCUUAUUUGCUAUUUGCAUAUCUUCUUUGGUGAAUUUGCCAUCUAUACAGCUAUUUUGUCCAUUUUAAAGUUGGGUUGGUUGUUUACUUAUUGUGAGUUUGAAGAGUUUUUUGUAUAUUUUGGAUACAUGUCAUUUAUCAGAUAUGUAUUCUGCAAAUAGUUCCAUCCAGUCUGUGGCUGUGUUCGUUUUAAACAAAUAAAGCUUAAUAACAUGUGUACCUUAUGUAUAUGUGGGAGAUACUCACAAAAAUGAGUAUAUCUCAGAGGUGGCUUUGAAUUCCAGCUUAUGUAGCAUCUUCAACAAACAAUAGCAAAUUUAGAGAAAUGACAAGACAAAGGAAAAAGACUUUGAGUCUCUAAGGGUGGCAAAUUAUAGAAAGGCAAAUAAAUGGUAGAUACAGACUAGUUAAUAAAGCUCAGUACCUAGGUUCCUCUGGUGCUGAUCCCCAGGCUGGUAAGGGGCUGUCCUUCCUGGUAGAAAGGGGAGGAGGGACAGACACAUUGGUGAAUUUAUGUCCUGCUUUUAGGCAAAUAGUGGAAGAGCAGAGAACUCUUCUUAUAUCUGCUUUUUCCCACUUGUCUUCAGCUCAAAAUAAUCCUUAUGCCAAAGUGGCAUAUUCUAGUCACUUACAGUCCUCCCUUUGAACUUUAUUUUUGGAAAGUUUCACAUAUUAAAAGCUGAAUUCGCAGCCCCAUAUCUUAUGGAGCCAGUCUCUUAGUCCUGAGUUCAGUUAAACUCAGGUCAACUGAGUUAGAAAGUUGUGUGUCAUUUCAGGUGGCAGUGUUGCAGGUGGGUUCCCAUCAAAGUUAGGCCUCUGUAUGGUGCAAGCAAACAAGUAUUUAAGUAGAGUCAUUCUAUGGACACAAAAAAACUAAAGGUUAAUCACUGGAAAAAAAUGAUAAAUCAGCUUCUGAGUCCAUAAGGCAGUCACGUGGAGAGUUCUAGAUUUGAUCUCAAAGCCUCUUAGAUGGUGGAAUGAGGAUGGCAGUUUAAAUCUAAUGGGUUUUCCUGGUUUGUGGUUUGACUAUCUCUGGUGAUAUCAUAGCAUGUUCUAGUGAACUUUCUGAGUGGCCCACACAGCAACAGACAUCAAGGUUGUCUGUAUUUGAGCUUUUGUGGUGAUUUAUCUGAAAUUUAUAUCAAGUCAUCCAGCUUUAGCUUUCAGAACUUUAGGAAAAGGGCAGUCAGCUGUUAACGGUUUUAAGUCAGAAAGGUGGGAGACAAUUGGAAAUGCUAGCUUGGAGAGUUGUAGUCAGAUAUUCAAGGCAACUACAGAAAUUCAGGAUCCAGUUUAGUUUAACAAAACCUCAAAGACAAUGAAUAGUGCUAGAUCUGAUAAUCUAAUCUUGUUACAGAU